AGCUAAGUAGGUAAAGCGCUCGUCUAGGAUACAAGAGUGUUGGGUUCGAAUCCCAG
rnacentral:tRNA from 1 species